GACGAAGGGGCCAAGCGUUGUUCGGAAUUACUGGGCUUAAAGCGCACGCAGGCUGGAAGUUAAGUGUUUUGUGAAAUCCCUCGGCUCAACCGGGGAAUUGCUUAGCAAACUGACUUUCUUGAGGCAAGUAGAGGUGCAUGGAACUCCAGGUGGAGCGGUGAAAUGCGUAGAUAUCUGGAGGAACGCCAGCGGUGAAAACGGUGCACUGGGCUUGUUCUGACGCUGAGGUGCGAAAGCGUGGGGAGCGAACGGGAUUAGAUACCCGAGUA
rnacentral:rRNA from 1 species